GGCUCACACAGACAGGAGAGAGAGCCUGAUGGCGGGGUUCAGACUCCGAACCGGGAAAUCAUGACCUAAGCCAAACUUGGACGCGUAACCGCCUGAGCCACCCAGGCGCCCCAGAAGAGAGCAACUUCAGACAGAGUCUGACCCAGUUGGGUGGGCUCUGAGUGUGUGACAGGCUCCAGCGUCAUUUUAUUUGCACAAGUAGCUCGUAAAUCCCUGGUAAAGAAGGGUGACUAGUAUCUUGCUAACCAUGGGACAAGGAGAGCUCACUGAUAGGACGGCCCCUUGAAGAUCCCAGGUAGAUUGUCCAGAAGCAUCUGCUUAUGUUUUACUCAGACCUAAUCCUUAUCCAGUAAGUGGAAUGUCAUCAAAAGGACAAUGUGCAUUUUUAGUGAUUAGGAAACAAAAUACUGGCUGCUCACAGGGGACUCUCUGAAGCAUUGUUAUUUGACUCAUCAUAUGACAUAAUAAAGCCUUAAAAAUUUGAUUGAAGAAGGCCACUGAGCCUCUAAAACCGUAACUGUGUAAUAACAAUUUCGAUUGCUCCCAGAUCAUGCUGCCUUGUGCUGGACUGGUUCGCACAGCAGUUAAGCGAAGACGUUGCUGUUUGAAGGCAAGCAGCGGACUGAGCCUGUGAAGUUAGACACAUAUUUAGAUGGUGGUGAGGCACUGGGUGGGCUUGAUGUUCGGAAAGGGCAGUAUGGUUGGCACACAAGGAUGAAGGAGAGAGUAGUGGGAAGUGAGUGAGAGAAGUAUGAAGGAGCCCCUCAUUGAGCCUUGCUGGGAAUGCCGUGCUGGUUGAUGUUUAACAUCCGGCUCUUGGGGUGGGGGCAUGGGGGAGGGGAGGCUCUGAUCUGUAAGCAUUUGUUGAUCCCUUGUGAGGCCACCCACCUGAGGUCACCAAAAGUGGAAUUGGGAAAAGAUGCCCAAAAUUGGUUCUCGCAAGCUGGAGCGGGUCGACACCAGCACACAAAGUGAUUGGGGGCUGAUGUGAGAGUUAGUGUUGACUUCUAACUGUGCUAUUUCCCCCUUGUUUAUAUUCCCCGGGGAAUAUGAGGCGUUCAGUAAAGGUUUGUUGAAGGAAUUAGUGAUUCAGUUCUCUUCCAUUCUCCAGUACGGUCAUGGAAAAUCUCUCUCAGGCAUAGAAAAUGUUUACCACUUGUGAAAUCCUGCUUUGACCCAGCUGGGCCAAUAUUUGAAAUUGAUUAAGAACGUGGGGAACAACGCAGUCUGUCCUUGUUGCAACGUGGGUUGGUUGUGUGUGAGAUCUCUUGAUCGCCCGUUAAUGGGCAGCACCCUUCUCCAAACUUUGAAGCACCCCCCCCCCCCGCGACCACCAAAGCUUCUGCUAAUCAAGCUCCUGUGAAAGCCGAUUUCUAUUUUACAAACACGGGGGGGGGACAUUCUUUGCCAUCCCCCAAAUGUGAUCAAGGUCCCUGGCUUCAGAUGUUGGCCCAGCUGCUGCGUGCUGGGGCAUGGAGAGAUGUGUCCCAAGGCUCUCCUGACAGAGGAGGAGCCCACUGUGUCAGCUUUGCUUACUCCCAGCCUUCUGUCCCCUCAUGAGCAGAUCUGUGGCAAGAGCCAUUCAGUUGUCUUCCUGCGUCUCUUCACUGUGUACGUCUGGGUCCCAAGGAAGUGUGUUGGGUGCAAAUGUUAUAACUUUUCGUGUGGGGAAAUAAAAAUAGCAUGGGGAAAAAUGAAUAAAAAGAUGAAAGGAUCGUCUGUAGUCUAAUGACUCUAAAAAAUCCUGUUAGGUUUUAUUUUGUAGCACUUUGGAUGGAUUUUCUUGGCAUAGUUAUGGUAAUCGUAUAAGAUAAUGUGCAAUUUUGUAUACUGUUUUUUUCCCCCCAUGGGCAUUUCCCCAGUGGCAUAUAUUGGGAAGCAUUUUUUAAUGCCUGCAAAAUAUUCUCAUCUUUGGAUUUUUCCAUACCUAUUAUAACUAUACUAUUGAACGUUAUUUUGUCAUGAAAACGUGAGUGAUGUAUACCACUUAAUUUUUUUCUAAUUUGGGCAUUGUUUGAUCAAAGUGUGUGAAAUACGAGCUGCUAGUUUCCUGAGGACUGGACCCAAAAACAUUUCCACCAUGCCCUGUUGGUCAAGCAACCAAGGGAUCUAGAGUUCAAGAGAGAGGAAGUGGACCUCACUUCUUGGGAAGAAUGUCAAAGAAUUUGGGGGCUUUAUUUUAAAACUUGUAAAAAGAAAAAAAAUGUUUACUUAAUAUUUAUGAAAUAUGUAUCAUUUCUCAUUUGAGAAGAUAUCUAUGGUGAAGCUGUUUAUCUGGCCCCUUAACAGAAUCACAAACCAGUGACAUUUCUUCCUAACAGAGGAGUCCAGUGGUCUUGUUUCUUGAUGAAUAUACUUACUUGUAUAGAAUAGCUUUCCAAUCAGCUGAAGCUCAUGUCUUUAGGCAUAAGCACUCAACUAUUUUAACCAGUCUGUAGAGUGCCUAUAGGCAUGGUCUUGGAAUUAUGCAAAACUUUUUUCAAUCCUGGCUACUGGUCCCAGGCUCACCAUUUACUAGCUUGGUGACCUUGGGCAAGUUUCUUAACCUCUUACUUUAUCAGUAAAGUGGGGAUAAUAAUGCUUACUUUAUAGGUUUGUUUUAUAGAUCAAAUAUGGUAACCCACACUAAAUAUUUAGUUUAGCGAAUGGCUCCUUUGUAAGUCCUCAGAAAGUAGUUAGUAGCAGUAAUACACAAGUUAAACACUGCCUUGAGCAGUAUAAAAUAGGUCACUCUCUACUGAAAACACUUUAGCUGUCUGUGGUCCCAUCCUUGUGAAUAUCCCGAUCGCCCGUCAUGACCUAUAUGGAGGAUUCACAACAUGUGCAGGCCAUCCGCUCUGUCUAGGUGGUGGCUUGGCCAGGGAUGGUUGCAGAAUUGCCCACUGCAAUCCUAGCUGGUCAGGUCUAGAUGGUCUGCGUGUUCUUUCUGUUUGGAAUGGGGCCGUGAGGGUUGUGUGUUUGAUUCGCAGUGUUUUGACCCUUCCCAGGAUUGCUUUAACCCAAGUGAGCAUGUGCCGAGUGAGAGUAUUUACCUCUUUUGGGGGAAGCGAGGAGGUCUGCCCAACACAUCUUUCACUGAGCUGAGUAUCCACAAGAGGAAGUUCAGGUUCAGGACAUGCACGUGUCUUUUGUCCAGAUGGUUUGUUUUUAAGCUUGUGAGCACCUGUGAUCUUGCAAACGAUCGUAUUUCCAUCUCUGAUUUAGCCAUUUGGAGGUAAAAUUACAGCUCUUCUCUAACAAGUUAUCGGAACCCUCUGGAACACAUGUCCCCUCCCCCUGGGAUUUCUGAUUUUCUUUCCCAUCGGGUCUGGUAGCCCACCCCCUCCUGCCCCAUGGCCACAUAGGCUGUGCACUAAGGCAUCCAGCCGAGCGAGCCCGGAGGCCGUCUUUGUCUCUGACCCCAGGCUGUGCGGGGUCGCAUCUCCUGGAUGAAGGUGCAUCAUAUUGUCCAAGGGCAUCUCUUGUUUUCUGUGUACUUCUAUCAGUAACCUCAAAUCUUUCGUGAGCGGGGGUGAGGCACAGUAGUUACCAAGAGGGUGGCCUCUGCCAGACACAAAUUAAUGAUACACACAUAUAUGAAGAAACCGGAAAUUAAGAGUUCCAUCUGCCUCGUUCUUAACUUGGACCAGGAGACAAAAAGCUAUUCAGUUCUAGAAGAGGCUCGUCAAGGGAUGGAGACAGGGAGACAGGAACACGAUGCCUCAGCUUUGUGUUUGAGAAAAUAGGGCGUCAGCUGGCAGUGCUGAAAGAAAGGUCGCUUUGAAAAUCAGUCAUUUUCUUCAGCAGACUUCUCUUUCAACUAAAAUUCAGGGAUUUCAGCUUGUGUCUGGGGCUGUUGGGCCGCUUGGCAACCCAGUAAGAAUGGCUAAUAGGAGGCGUCCUAAGCUCCAGAGGAGAGACCUCCAGGCAGAAGUGAGUUAAAACUGUUUCUCUUCUUUUUCCCAGCGGUUCUUGUGAAACCACCGGUAAACCCUGAAUGGGAAAAUAAAAAUGGCCUCCUGGGGACUUCUUGGCUUCUGGCUCGUUGGCCAGGCUAUGUAUGGCCAUGUAGCUGUGUUCCAGCCAGCAGGAGGUGAGCGGAAGCUUCGCAUGCCUCUUGUAGGCAUGACCUUUAGGAAAGGAGUGCUCUCCGCUUCCCUUUCCCCUUCCUGGUGGCUACAAUGUGGAUGACGUGGCAGGCGCUGCAGUUAAUGGCCUUGGACCAUGCGAUGUUGAGAGUAUCUGAGCAAAAAGAUGCAAAUAGCUUGGGUCGCGAACAUCAUGGAGAUCCCACAUCGGCCCCGGACCACUAUGCCCUGCAGUAUAUGAGGGAGAAAUGACAUUGCUCCCGUUGAAACCAUUGUCAUUUUGACAUUUGAUAGGAUAGGUGAACUUACAUCCUCAUCCAUAUGACUGUUUAUCUCUAUGAAAACUAAGGUGAAUGCAUUUGAGAGAGGAAGAGAAGUUGCUAAUCCAGCCUUUUUAAAAAAGCGGACAAACAACUAAAAAGGUUGGUGGGGGAUGGGCAUAGAAAUGUGGAAUGAUCCUUUAUGUGAAUUGUUCGAUUUGUCAUUAAAUGUUUGGGCCUCUUUAAAUAAAUGAAACGAGAAAUCAUGGUUCAUU